rnacentral:rRNA from 1 species
GGGUGAGUAAUGCAUGGGGAGCUGCCCAAUCGAGGGGGAUACCAGCUGGAAACGGCUGCUAAUACCGCAUACGCCCUGAGGGGGAAAGGUGGGGACCUUCGGGCCUACCGCGAUUGGAUGCACCCAUGUGGGAUUAGCUAGUUGGUGAGGUAACGGCUCACCAAGGCGACGAUCUCUAGCUGGUCUGAGAGGAUGACCAGCCACACUGGAACUGAGACACGGUCCAGACUCCUACGGGAGGCAGCAGUGGGGAAUAUUGCACAAUGGGGGAAACCCUGAUGCAGCCAUGCCGCGUGUGUGAAGAAGGCCUUCGGGUUGUAAAGCACUUUCAGUGGGGAGGAAGGGUUGAUGUCUAAUACGCAUCAUCAUUGACGUUACCCACAGAAGAAGCACCGGCUAACUCCGUGCCAGCAGCCGCGGUAAUACGGAGGGUGCAAGCGUUAAUCGGAAUAACUGGGCGUAAAGCGCACGCAGGCGGUUAGAUAAGUCAGAUGUGAAAUCCCCGGGCUCAACCUGGGAACUGCAUUUGAAACUGUCUGACUAGAGUCUUGUAGAGGGGGGUAGAAUUCCAGGUGUAGCGGUGAAAUGCGUAGAGAUCUGGAGGAAUACCGGUGGCGAAGGCGGCCCCCUGGACAAAGACUGACGCUCAG